CAGAUUAUAAAGGAAAUGGAAAUUCUCAAUAAUUAAAAAAAAAAGGCAUAAUGAGAUAUCUUCUCCUCCCUUCUUAACAUCCCUAUGCUUAUCUUAUGCUAAUCUAACAGCGUUAUGAUACUUUCUGGUGUGCUUUUGUGGUGGAAAAUCCCAGUUUCUUCUCAAGGAUCAUGGGAUUGUCCCUGAUGGUAGUGAGGAAAUGACUAAAUCACAGCAUGAACUAUGUAGAAGGGCUCUAACACAGGAGCUCAGCAGGCAUGCCGCUGUUAUUCUUCGAGGAACAAAUACAGUUGCCUGACAUUGUUGUCUGGGCAUUCCGAGGCUUGGAAAGGGAUCCUCGAACCACUAGGUCGUCUGCUGAAGUCUUCCUACAAAUUAAGGUCUUAUGCUUACUUUUUCUAUCCUUUAAUUAGUAGCUCUAUUGAUCUUUGUUGAUCUCCUAUGGUUGUUUUUUUCGGCAUACUAUGCUGGACUGUCAAUGCUCUGGUUCUUCACUAUGGUUUGAUUUUCAUCCGUUGAAUUAUUAAACUACAAGUUUGUCAUCUUCGAUGAAUUGAUAGCCACAUUGGUCAAGGCUUAUUGCAUAUGGUGACUCAGUAAUUCUGUAGCCUAUACAGGGAUAUGACAUAGAGAGAGAUCUACUUCCAUUCAUUUCUUGGCAUGUGUUCACGAGAGGCUAGCUCUUUAGACUACCAGCUACUAACUGAUGGAGCAAACUUGACUUGCAUUGUUCUAGCUUAAGCCAUGAUCUGCAUAUUUGUUACUACAUUUGCGAUUCAAUAUUCAGUCAAGGAUUGUGGGGCUUCUUCAUUUUCUCUUUUGCACUUGAAUUCUUCCAUUGUUUUGGGCCGAUACUUUUGCCUUCACUUUGAAGGUUUCCAGCUUGGCAUGACCCCUGUGUAUAUGGCAUCCCUCUGUUUCAUAAAUGAUCGAAACUGAUGCUCAAAAUUAUAGUAGUUUAGCUACAACCUCAAGGUCAGGGGGAAUGGCAGGAAUGUUUUGUAUUACUUUUCCCUUCUAAAUGCAUAUGCUUAGGCUGUUAUUAUUAUUAUUACUUU